rnacentral:rRNA from 1 species
GACGAACGCUGGCGGCGCGCCUAACACAUGCAAGUCGAACGAGCGAGAGGAGGUUUACUUUCUCAAGCGAGUGGCGAACGGGUGAGUAACGCGUGAGGAACCUGCCUCAAAGAGGGGGACAACAGUUGGAAACGACUGCUAAUACCGCAUAAGCCCACGGCUCGGCAUCGAGCAGAGGGAAAAGGAGCAAUCCGCUUUGAGAUGGCCUCGCGUCCGAUUAGCUGGUUGGUGAGGUAACGGCCCACCAAGGCGACGAUCGGUAGCCGGACUGAGAGGUUGAACGGCCACAUUGGGACUGAGACACGGCCCAGACUCCUACGGGAGGCAGCAGUGGGGAAUAUUGCACAAUGGGGGAAACCCUGAUGCAGCGACGCCGCGUGGAGGAAGAAGGUCUUCGGAUUGUAAACUCCUGUUGUUGAGGAAGAUAAUGACGGUACUCAACAAGGAAGUGACGGCUAACUACGUGCCAGCAGCCGCGGUAAAACGUAGGUCACAAGCGUUGUCCGGAAUUACUGGGUGUAAAGGGAGCGCAGGCGGGAAGACAAGUUGGAAGUGAAAUCCAUGGGCUCAACCCAUGAACUGCUUUCAAAACUGUUUUUCUUGAGUAGUGCAGAGGUAGGCGGAAUUCCCGGUGUAGCGGUGGAAUGCGUAGAUAUCGGGAGGAACACCAGUGGCGAAGGCGGCCUACUGGGCACCAACUGACGCUGAGGCUCGAAAGUGUGGGUAGCAAACAGGAUUAGAUACCCUGGUAGUCCACACUGUAAACG